rnacentral:rRNA from 1 species
AACGUAGGAGACAAACGUUAUCCGGAGUUACUGGGCGUAAAGGGCGUGUAGGCGGUUUGUUAAAUCUGGCGUGAAAGCUCUCGGCUAAACCGGGAGAGGUCGUUGGAUACUGGCAAACUAGAGGACGGUAGAGGCGUGUGGAAUUCCGGGUGUAGUGGUGAAAUGCGUAGAGAUCCGGAGGAACACCAGUGGCGAAGGCGACACGCUGGGCCGUACCUGACGCUAAAGCGCGACAGCAUGGGGAGCAAACGGG